UCGGCCCAGCGCAGGCCGCGCUGCACCCAGGCCGGAGGAGCAGAGGACAGGGAAGCCGGAUCCCUUCUCUGCCCGGCCACCACAGAGUCCAUGGCGUUGGCGGAGGCGGACGGAACCAUCAGGUCGCCGUGUAUCCGCCUUGGUUACGUGCAUUCAGGAUUCCAGGUCUGGUGGUUCGGUAUGUGCUUCUCGGCUCUUGCUGAUUCCGCCGCUGUCGCAUGGGCGGUUGAAUGCAUGAGAGAGCCCACGGCUGCUUAUGUGCUUCACCGGCAUUGUAAAUCAACUUCAAGUUCAAGGAAUCAAGGAUGGAAAGGUAGAAUACAAUGAAAAUAGACUUGUGUUUCAAGCCCAUUGCUGAAAAUGCAAAUGCACCCGAGGAAAUAGCUGCAAAGGUCAUAUCUGAUGAGAUCAUCGACAUGAUCGACGAUGGUACGUAUUCUUGUGUGGUGCCUUUGGAACGAUUAUUAUUUUCCUUGCACCCCUCAUGUCCAAAUCCUAGCUCAGCCCCUGAUUGUUUGUGUUAGAUGUAAUAAACAGAAAAUUACAGAGUGCAUGAGAUGCUUAUAAGUUCCUUAGGUAAUCAUUCACGGUUCUUUCAUGGAAACAUAUGAUGUUACUGUUUGUUA